UAGGGAAUAUUAGUAAUGGGCGAAAGCCUGAACUAGCAACACCGCGUGUGCGAAGAAGGCCUUCGGGAUGUAAAGCCCUGUUGUAUGGGAAGAGCGGAAGACGGUACCAUACGAGGAAGCCCCGGCAAACUACGUGCCAGCAGCCGCGGUAAUACGUAGGAGGCUAGCGUUAUCCGGAUUUAUUGGGCGUAAAGCGCGUGCAGGCGGUCUGAUAAGUUGGAUGUGAAAGCUCCUGGCUUAACUGGGAGAGGUCGUUCAAAACUAUCAGACUUGAGAGUGGUAGAGGGAGGUGGAAUUCCGCAUGUAGUGGUGAAAUGCGUAGAUAUGCGGAGGAACACCAGUGGCGAAAGCGGCCUCCUGGCCCAUUUCUGACACUCAGACGCGAAAGCUAGGGUAGCAAACG
rnacentral:rRNA from 1 species